rnacentral:rRNA from 1 species
CCGCACGGGUGAGUAACACGUAUCCAACCUGCCGUCUACUCUUGGCCAGCCUUCUGAAAGGAAAGAUUAAUCCAGGAUGGCAUCAUGAGUUCACAUGUCCGCAUGAUUAAAGGUAUUUUCCGGUAGACGAUGGGGAUGCGUUCCAUUAGAUAGUAGGCGGGGUAACGGCCCACCUAGUCAACGAUGGAUAGGGGUUCUGAGAGGAAGGUCCCCCACAUUGGAACUGAGACGCGGUCCAA